rnacentral:lncRNA from 1 species
UCGUUCCGGCGAUAGUAUGGGUGCUACGAUGGUGGCUCGGUAACAAAAGGGUGUGUUUCCAGCGGUGCAGUUUCUCCGAGAUUUUUCUUCCUCUUCUUUUUGUUUUUAUUUUGCUUUGCCCGCAACGUGUUUGAUGAAAGUUUUGAACAAGUUUUUCUUUCUUUCAUGAUAUCUAAAAUUGGGUGAUGCUGAUGAUGAUUGGAGAAAGCGAGGUUCCGCUGAUUGUGG